GCCAUACCAUGCUGAAUAUACCGGUUCUCGUUAGAUCACCGAAGUCAAGCAUCAUUGGGCACGGUCAGUACUUAAGUGGGUGACCUCCUGGGAACACCGCGUGCCGUUG
rnacentral:rRNA from 1 species